UUUCUUUCGUUAACUGCACGCACUCGUUUGUUAGCAGGACAUAUGCAACAAACGGAAUUUUUACUCAUUCUUUAUAUAUGUGCGUUUUGGGGAGACUGCCGCCGCAGAUAUAUGAAAUUAUGCACUUUAAAUAACUUUCAGCAAUGUUUUUUUAAUUAAUUAACCAUCUAAAAUGUUCAUAUAAAUCAUUCAUUUGCACGAGUGGUCAGAUAAAUGUGGUCGGCUAAUUAUUGCGUUUUUAAUAAGAGGACAUGUUUGUUUUUUGUUUUUAUAAUCAAUAUGAUAUUGUCUACGUUUAGAUCCGAUUUAAUUUGUGCAUUUUUUUCUCUUUUUGAAAUGAAAAAGCUGCGUAUUCUAUUAAUUAAAAAAAAUUAAAUGAUUUUGUUUAGGACUGCUGUUGGUAUUUUCAUUGAUUUACUCCCUUUUCACAUUAAUUUAUUUCAAGACAAAGCAAAUUGGCUUUCUGUACACUCACAUACGUAGACGGGAGCAAGAGGCUCCACCUUUGCGACGCAGCGAUUGGUUAUGUAAAUAAAGUCUUUUUUUCCUCCACUAUCUUUAUGCAGUUAUCUACUGUAUAGAUAAUUAAAUCAUCAAUCAAAGGGGCUGGGCUAUUUGAUGCUUUUGUUCAAAGCCAAUCGGCUUUCAGGGAAUUGCUGAGUACAGAUGAGAGUAAAGAUGUUCAACAUCUGGAAUUCAGAAAUUUCCAAAGGCUGUAGAUUAUCGCGGGUCCCUGGGGAAACGGUCAAUGAGCAACGGGCUGACUUUUGGACUGUCUUCCGUUGAUUAUUGUUCCUUCACGUCUUGCAAGCCGACCCUGGUAGGCAAGAACAGGAGCAUCCUAAAAACGGCAUGCCCACCCCCCUCCACCUGAAAGGUGACAAUACGCCACCCCUGCAGUCUCAGAGAGUGUGUUUGUGAGGGUGAAAGGAGGACCGUCCUCAGCGCCUGGUUUGUUGCUCCUGACACAGUGUUAGCAUGAAGAUCCUGGCACAGGAACCCGAGGAACCCCAAGCGACGUCGGCAGGUAGCGGUGCGCUCACAGGCCCUCGACGAAAGGGACCAGGCCACCUUGAAGCUCUUGUCGAAUGACGUCAUGUGAAAGAGCUGGGGAGCACAAAUACCACCUCCGGCUGGCGAAGGUGAACGAUCAGGAAAAGGGCAGCGACUCUGAGCUGGGAGAAAAAUGGAAAAAAACUAAAAGAGACGCGAGGGAAAAAGGGAGGGAGGGACUGGAAUGGUUUAGAGAGGGGAGACAGGCACGCGCUGCGUCUCCCGGGUAACGAGUCAAUGAUGGGCAGACGAGCUGCGGUCGCAUUGAUUAGAGCAUUUUGUUGCAGCCAGUCACAAUUAAGUUUGACUGUGUCGUUCCUUCUGCUUAGGCAGGUUUAUUUUGACAGGGAAUAACGACAGCAGGAACAUGAUUCAGCUCCUGUUCACAUCUGCCAUGUGGAGACAAACAGGAACGCAGAGGAGGGAAUCGUAAGGCAGCAAGGCUCAGCAUGCAGACACUCAUAAACAGUCACUCAGCACACAGAGGCUGACACGCAGAAGUUCACACGCAGGCGCACGCAGACAUUUGUCAUGCAGACACUAGCGUGUACACACUUGGCACACACAGAUGCUAGGCACACAGAACUACACACACAGUUGUUCACACGCAGACACUCGACAUGCAGACGCACAUGGGCAGACACACACAUGCAGAUGCUUGGCACGCAGACACUGGACAUGCAGACGCAUACACGCGGACGCUUGGCACGCACACAGAUGCACAGCACGCAGACGCACAUGGGCAGACACACACAUGCAGAUGCUUGGCACGCAGACACUAGCCACACCGAUGGUCAGUACGCAGAUGCUCACACACGUAGACACUCGGCACGCAGACGCUCACACGCAGACGCUCACACGCAGAUGCUCACACGCAGAUGCUGAGCAUGUCUGACACUGGAUAAGAUGCCACCUCAUAACUGCACUCUACCACCCGAAGCCUGCUGGCACAAAGCUAAAGCAUAACUGAGCUGUCGAGUGUGGAUUAUCCACCAAGUUAUUAGAUAUCAGCUGUGGGGCCAUAUGAUCAAUAAAGUAAAACGUUAUCAUCACUGCUUGACUCCGCCCAUAGUCAGAUAAUUGGUGUAGGAUGAGGGCGGACCGGAAUGAUUCUCAAGUGCUCAACAAAGUCAGGUAACAUUUACAGGCCAGUGCUCCGAUGGCAAGACCCCGAAACCUUUUGAGACACAUAAAUAGAUGCACCCAGGCAGGCAUGAGCUCAGGCAGGGUAAAUCCUCCCAAUGUGUGCAUCCCUGCAUGAGUGUUGAAAGCACACUAUGUCAGCCUUCAUUCCCAGUCCCUACACCUCAAUGUUUAAUUGGAUCCUUCUAUAAGCAGAGAGGCAGCCCCCCAACUGCGUCACAGAGGACUCACCCCAAAGGUUCCCUCGUCACAUGACCCAAUGCUUCUUCCUGAAGGCUAAUCCAGCAUCACGUGACACUGCUUCUUCCCAUUGGCUGGGCUCCUGUGAAUCAGGAGUAGUCACCUGACCACAUCCUCUCCCUACGCUCACAGGCAUGAUUUGAAUUUACUGACCACGGGGGCACCCCUAGCAAAGUGAGCAUGCCCCCCCCCCACCAGGUUUAUCAACAAUGACGCUCAAGUGCAGAGACACACACACGCUGGGCAGACUGGUACUUAUGGCGAUGCCAGAAGGCUGUGAGAGUGACCCACUCAUCCAAACACAAGUUUGUCUUACCUUUUAUUUGACUCUGAUAAUGUUCUCUCUCAAAAAAAUAAAUAAAUAAACAGUUACUCUAUGAGUCGGGAGUACCUUAAGGGGGUCGCACUUUGAAAAGUGACCCUACACCAUGUACAGUGAGUCCCAGGCAUCUAUAAAUCAUCCCGUUCCCUCUGCCUCCCUAAAAUUCCCGCCCUUUUAUUUCCGGUGAUGUGAAGCAGAGUCCGCACAUUAGCCACAGCAAGACACCUCAGAUGACUCCAGGGCCCAGGAUGCAUCUGGAGUAUGUGAUAAAUGCAUCAGUUUCUCUUUGGCAAGAGAGAUACAGGCUGAGUCUCCACUGAGGUACGUAAACACCCCUCUGUGUCACCUGAUCUCUUAUUCACCUCCCCACUUCUUGUGAACCUUUAACAAAACCGUUUCACCUCCUGAUUUAUUUCAUUUCGCCUUUUAGCUGCUCAAGAGCAACAAAUCAGUAAUCAUAGCUGACGGAAAAUGUAUUCAUAAUGAACGCCGUAUUAUUAAAAUCAAACAUUUUGAAUUGCGCUUUUUUUUUUUCUUUCGCCAUCACAGUUCUUCUUAACAAUGAGUAAUUCAUUCAAUCAGCACUGAGGACCAGGGAUGGGAGAGGUUUGAGGGUCCUCGACCCACACAGCAGAGCUUAGAGCAUGACCAGGAACUAGCAGUGAUUAACCUCAUGCGUCACGGCAUUAGAGCAGGGAAAUGAUCUGUUUUCAGAGAGCCAAACAAAAAAACGCUCUUACAUUUCCCAGUGAACAUAACUCAGUCACACUGUCCUACACCUGACCUGUGUUAACAUUCUUAUGUCUUUUCAUACACCUCCACCGAAGGUCAAAUAUUUACAUCUGGCUCAUUCUUUUGUGGUUCUUUUGCUGUAUUAUUUCACAAAAAUGCUGGGCUCCACUGCCCCAGCACUGGGUGAGCAUUUAUGGAGGAUAGUUGAAUGGAUUACAGCAGGAUGUCCAUCCAUCCACCCAUUUUCCAAACCGCUUAUCCUACUGGGUCUCGGGGGGUCCGGAGCCUAUUCCGGAAGCAAUGGGCAUGAGGCAGGGAACAAGCCAGGAUGGGGGGCCAGCCCAUCGCAGGGCACACACACACCAGUCACUCACACAUGCACUCCUAUGGGCAAUUUAGCAACUCCAAUUAGCCUCAGCAUGUUUUUGGACUGUGGGGGGAAACCGGAGUACCCAGAGGAAACCCCACGACGACAUGGGGAGAACAUGCAAACUCCACACACAUGUGAUCCAGGUCGUGACUUGAACCUAGGACCCAGAGGUGUGAGGCAACAGUGCUAACCACUGCACCCCGUACAGCAGAAUGUGUGCACUGCAAACACGUAUGUAACAUGUCUGACAACUAGCGUGCUUUAAACCCAUCAGUUCUUGCUGAAAGCCUUUCUCAAGACCAGCAGGUCAGACACAUUCAGCCAGUAAAGUUCAUGGUCUGGGGUCUUCCCUUGCUUACAACCAUCCUCACGAUCAUGGUCUCCAUUGCAGAUCCCUCACCUCUGCUCGAGGUGUCCCAGAGUAGCCUCUGGAGUUGCGACCCUGAUAUUUAUUAAAGACGAAGAGCAUAUAUGCCUUCACCUCCCCUCCUGCUCCCUCUCCUAACAAAUAGGUGCUGGGCUCCUGCAGGCCGUCACGCUAAAUUUAGCUCUGAUCCCAUUCUGGGCUCUUCCACGCGCCCCACAGAUCUCGCGGCUUAUUGUCUGGACCUCGGAAAUCUGUCGCCGCCGCUCUUGAAAGAGACGUUCUGGCACGCGGGCCCUUGCCGCCGUAUUCCAGGGGCGAGGAGCUGCUCCUUCUGUCUUUGGGUGUCCCCUGACAGUGGGAUUAGCGCUCCUGCUAAUGCGUUUGCCCUGGACACACUGAGUCUGCCCUCCUCAUCGUCAGAGGAGCUGAAGACAAGUAGGAGAAUGAGGGACCCCCCCCCACACUUAGUAAAAUGGACGAGUACAGUGCUAUCAGUCAGGUUUAUAGUUCACAGGGCUGAGGAAGAUCGGUCCAAACCUUCCGGAGUGGGGUGAAAGGCCGUCCCACAGCACAUGGCUUGCCUGCCCUCAUGCCCCCACCUUCCCAGCAUGAGGCACACCUCCAGGACAGAUCUGGAAGCACCCUGCGUAAGGGCUUCCUGUCAGGUGAUCGGCGAUACCAGCAUUGACCAGUCACACCUUCUGACUGACGGGAACAAAGGCCCACAUUGUGCUAAGCGGCUUUUUACUCUUUGUCUGCCCCCCACCCCCGCCCCCCUACCUCCUUGUCGGAAUAACUGUGGCCUUUUGUUCCUUUAACGGUCUUCUCUGGAGAGAGAAGGAAACAGGGUCAGUCAGGGUCAAUCUGGGUGGGGGGGUGCAGCCUCUACAGGAUGAUAGCGCAGGGGACACAGCUAUGUCCAACCUUGGAGACCACGUCCACGACAGCCCCCCCCUCCCUACCCGCUUUAUUGAGAGCCAGAUGCGGGGCCCCCGGAGAACGAACGGUAAGCUGUUGUGCUUUAAGCCUAAUGGAGAAGUUCUACAUGCAGGGGCCUUGACCUGAUUAGGAUAAUUCCCUCCUUUAAUGCACAUCCCACUGGCUUAAGGUAAACCAAAUGUUGGCAUCAGAGAUCACGCUACUUUUCCAGUUAACAUCUUCUGCUGGGAGGCUUCAACCGGACCUCCACGCACCUGUCUGCGCUGCGUUCAGGACUCGUGUACCUGCUUACCUGUCAGGUGGCGCCGUGCCUGGGCAGCCUGCCAGCUCUGCCAGGUGGCGUAAUACCCGCGCAUCCUGAGCAGCCGUCGGCUUUGUCUGAUCCUGGGCUCGGCGCUCUCUUCUAAUCCCAUUCCCGACCAUCCGGGCCCCGUCGAGCCGAGACGGACCAGGCGAUGCGGAACUACGGAUAGUGCCCGCGCUUGUAAUGCCCCUGCUGGCAACUUGCUGGCCACCACAUGGUCUUGGCUUGACAUCUCCAUCACCUACCUGUGUGAAGACACGCGCGGGACCCAGCGUAUGGUCCCCUCUGCUGUGCCAUCCAAUUUUACCCAGGGUGCACUUCACCAAGGUGGUGAAGAUACCAGCCAAGAUCACUCUGAUACAGAACAGCAUGUGCUGCGGAGUAGUGUGUGGCUCAGUGGGUUAGACUGCUGUGCCUGUGAUCAGAGGGUCACCGGUUUAAAUCCCAGGGUUGACCAAAGUAUGUCACCAUUGGGUUCCGGUGCCAGGCCCUUAACCCCCAAUUGCUCUAGAGACUGUCUGACGCUGCCUUCUCAGGAACACCUGUCCCUUUGGAUAAAAGCUAAGUAUAAAAGAAGAAGAAAAGCAGAGUCAGUAAUUGAAAGCUACACAGAGGCCGACUAUAGUCUUGCAGUAAUCCAUAUAUCCCCACACACCUCAUGUACCUUGCUUGAAUAUACCAGCUGGAUUUCAAACAGGGUAAAGGUUAAUAACACUUGAGUCAGGCUGAUGACCAUUGUCUGGAUAGCAUUAAUUCUGAAGCCUGACUUUACUGUAAAUCCCAUUAACUUAGCAAAGGCUAACACUCAAGCUGAGAACCCAUUAGGUCCAAUUUUAGAGUCUCCCAACUAACCUGCCGUCCGCGACCAGAAUCAUUUUGCAGCUAUUAUUAAACUGUUCACUCAUCAGAUUGACUUUUCUCUUAGUUUUUCUGGUAAUUUCUAAAGUAACAAUAAACGUUAAUGGCCGUUGAGCUGAUUAAAAACGAGGAGUUAAAGAUGCACAGCUGAAUGAGUUUUCAAGAAAUUAUAACAGAUAAUGAAAUUAUUUAAAAAUCAGUUCCUUGAAAUAUACUUACUAAGACCAAAAUGUUCUGAGAUUUGCUUUUGUGAGGAUGUGAGUCCGCUUAAAUGUAAUCUUCUUAAAUGUUAAGCCUUUGUCAUCAAUUCAGCCAAGGCUAUGAAUUUGCUCCAGUGCAUUGUGGGAAAAUUCACAGAGGAGAGCUGCCAGGCAAGGCAGGUCAUGCUUAACACAUCCAUGUGCUGCUUUAUUCUUAAUUUUACUGGACGUGCAAGAACAUAGGUUAGUCUACAGGGCAUCUCUUUGGGGGUCAGGCAACUCAGAAGAACAAUUUCACUUCCCGUCACCCAUGGAAGUGCCACUGUAGAUAUGUGACACUACACCAUCUGAUGUUGAUGCUUGUUGGGUUUCUGAAGACCAAGACAUGGAGUUACCUACACAUUCUCAGUGCUGACCUUCAGGGAUUUCUCGAAAAACAUUUUUUGAGACGUGCCAGAUGCAGCACAUUUGGAAAAGUGUUUCGGGUUCCAGGCCACACAGAAAACCUCUAAACGCUUAAUGGGCCGUUAUUUCAGCUUUUUCUGCUCUUUCAUUUGCCGAUGAAUACAAAUAAAUUACCCUUAAUGGUGAAAAAAAAAACUUCUCUUGACUUUCCUUCCACCGUGACAGACCACGCCGAGGCAGGAAUGGCAGAGUGACAAGCCCCUGUCAAAGUCCGAGUCGCGAUCAAGCCCCAGCUGUAAUAUCCCCCAUAUACUUAUGUGUUUAUACUUAUGUUCUGUUUGACAGUCCUGGAGCUGGGCAGCUAGGCAUUUCACUGCACACUGUACUGAGUAUAUGGUGUAUAUGACUAAUAAAACUUUGAUCAAUUGAUUGUCUAA